AUGGAUUACAAGCGAGAUCACCCUGCAUGGCAUGCAGGGGGUCAGCGGUUCGAGUCCGCUUGGCUCCA
rnacentral:tRNA from 1 species